rnacentral:rRNA from 1 species
UGAGGAAUAUUGGUCAAUGGACGCAAGUCUGAACCAGCCAAGUAGCGUGCAGGAUGACGGCCCUAUGGGUUGUAAACUGCUUUUAUAUGGGGAUAAAGUGGGGAACGUGUUCCCUUUUGCAGGUACCAUAUGAAUAAGGACCGGCUAAUUCCGUGCCAGCAGCCGCGGUAAUACGGAAGGUUCGGGCGUUAUCCGGAUUUAUUGGGUUUAAAGGGAGCGUAGGCCGUUUGGUAAGCGUGUUGUGAAAUGUAGGAGCUCAACUUCUAGAUUGCAGCGCGAACUGUCAGACUUGAGUGCGCACAACGCAGGCGGAAUUCAUGGUGUAGCGGUGAAAUGCUUAGAUAUCAUGAAGAACUCCGAUUGCGAAGGCAGCUUACGGGAGCGCAACUGACGCUGAAGCUCGAAGGUGCGGGUAUCGAACAGG